rnacentral:lncRNA from 1 species
ACAAUGCUCAAUAUGUCAUAAUGGAGAUAUCAAUCUUAAAAGAAUUUCAUCAGUCUCCAAAGACACCAUUGCCAGGAACCAUGCCACACCAUACCAGUCAGUGAGCCAGGCUGGUUCUUCUUAUCACAAAAGAUCAAAUGCCCAGGAAUAUGAGUCAUCUGAAGAUUCCUGCUAAUGAGCAGAGCCCUGCACGAGAGUUGACAAGACUGAAGCCCAGAGUUCUUUGUCCAUGAAUGUUGGACAAGAAUGAGCAGUGCCUGCUUCUCUUAACUUCGAAUCUGCUUCAACAGAAAGAGCUUAAUGGAAAAGCAUGCCCUGCACUUCUGUUUUCCAUGAGGAGCCAGAAGUCAUCAGCAAAGCUGCAGCCCAAGAUGAGAAAAGCCAUUCGCCUCCUGGGGCCUCCAUGGAGUGAAUGCCUUUAAGAUGACAAGAGCUGGGAUGUAGGAGGAAGGUCAUUUUUUGCUCUCUGCUGGAUAAGUGGUGGCCAAGAGAACCACGUGUGCUGGUGGAAAAGCGCUGGACCUGCUGCCCAGCACCACAGCCGACAGCAGCAAAUGGCCAUUGAACACUUCGAAAUGCGGGGACUCUCGCCCAUUUCCCACAGACCUAUAUACCCCGCCUGCAAACCUGACGGAAAGGCCCACACACCACACCAGAGAGAUGUGGAGGGACGGAGCAUUCAUCAUAGACAGCAUUGGAGCCCCCGUCCCGGAACCCUGAGCAUGCCUGCAGGUUAUCAGUGGAUGCCUCACCUUAGAAAAGUCCCGUAAAACUGAGGAAGAUUGUGGGAGGUAUCCUUGGGGGUCAUCUAGACCAGCACUCCAGCCUGCCCCAAAUCUACAGAUCAAAAAAGCAAAGUCCAGAGAAGUAACGUCUCAAGGUCACAUAAGUCAGUCCCUAUCAACAUCAGCACUAAAAUCAAGGCUUCCUAAAACCAGUCGGAUCAUUGUUCCAUUACAGCAUAUGGUAAUUCUUGUUAGAUGGAAAACAGAAAUAUUUAGAAAGUCCUAGGAGGGUCU